rnacentral:rRNA from 1 species
UGGGGAAUUUUGGACAAUGGGCGCAAGCCUGAUCCAGCCAUGCCGCGUGCGGGAAGAAGGCCUUCGGGUUGUAAACCGCUUUGUCAGGGAAGAAAUCUUCUGAGUUAAUACCUCGGGAGGAUGACGGUACCUGAAGAAUAAGCACCGGCUAACUACGUGCCAGCAGCCGCGGUAAUACGUAGGGUGCAAGCGUUAAUCGGAAUUACUGGGCGUAAAGCGUGCGCAGGCGGUUUUGUAAGACAGAGGUGAAAUCCCCGGGCUCAACCUGGGAACUGCCUUUGUGACUGCAAGGCUUGAGUGCGGCAGAGGGGGGAUGGAAUUCCGCGUGUAGCAGUGAAAUGCGUAGAUAUGCGGAGGAACACCGAUGGCGAAGGCAAUCCCCUGGGCCUGCACUGACGCUCAUGCACGAAAGCGUGGGGAGCAAAACAGGAUUAGAUCCCUGGUAGUCCACGCCCUAAACGAUGUCAACUGGUUGUUGGGAAGGUUCCUUCUCAGUAACGUAGCUAACGCGUGAAGUUGACCGCCUGGGGAGUACGGCCGCAAGGUUGAAACUUAAAUGAAUUGACGGGGUCAUAGCUGUUUCC